UCCGGUGGUUAUAGCGAGAGGGAAACACCUCUUCCCAUUCCGAACAGAGUCGUUAAGCCUCUCAGCGCCGAUGGUACUUGGCCCGCAAGGGCCUGGGAGAGUAGGACGCCGCCGGUU
rnacentral:rRNA from 3 species